rnacentral:rRNA from 1 species
AGCGAACGCUGGCGGCAGGCCUAACACAUGCAAGUCGAACGAACCUUUCGGGGUUAGUGGCGGACGGGUGAGUAACACGUGGGAACGUGCCUUUAGGUUCGGAAUAACUCAGGGAAACUUGUGCUAAUACCGAAUGUGCCCUUCGGGGGAAAGAUUUAUCGCCUUUAGAGCGGCCCGCGUCUUAUUAGCUAGUUGGUUGAGGUAAUGGCUCACCAAGGCGACGAUCAGUAGCUGGUCUGAGAGGAUGAUCAGCCACAUUGGGACUGAGACACGGCCCAAACUCCUACGGGAGGCAGCAGUGGGGAAUCUUGCGCAAUGGGCGAAAGCCUGACGCAGCCAUGCCGCGUGAAUGAUGAAGGUCUUAGGAUUGUAAAAUUCUUUCACCGGGGACGAUAAUGACGGUACCCGGAGAAGAAGCCCCGGCUAACUUCGUG